GGCUACUCUCUACAGGUGGAAUCAGAGUCUAACUGUAUUCUGACUGGGUGAAUACUCUGUGAGGCUGUGGCUACUCUCUACAGGUGGAAUCAGAGUCUAACUGUAUUCUGACUGGGUGAAUACUCUGUGAGGCUGUGACUACUCUCUACAGGUGGAAUCAGAGUCUAACUGUAUUCUGACUGGGUGAAUACUCUGUGAGGCUGUGGCUACUCUCUACAGGUGGAAUCAGAGUCUAACUGUAUUCUGACUGGGUGAAUACUCUGUGAGGCUGUGGCUACUCUCUACAGGUGGAAUCAGAGUCUAACUGUAUUCUGACUGGGUGAAUACUCUGUGAGGCUGUGGCUACUCUCUACAGGUGGAAUCUUUAAUGGCGUUUUAGAAUUUGGAACCUUGUCCUGACUACUGUGUUCUGCUUGGUAGCACACAGAUGGAGCUAGCUAGUGCAAUCUCUCAGGAGUAGGUUUUUCUCUCUCUCUCUCUCUCUCUCUCUCUCUCUCUCUCUCUCUCUCACACACACACACACACACACACACACACACACACACACACACACACACAGAGAGAGAGAGACACACGCACACUGUAUUUGGAAGGUGUGAGUGAUGGAGGGAUCACGUUAAAGGACAAAGAGAGAAAAGGGGGAGUGUUUGAUGGGAAAAGAGAGAACUCUGCCAAUCAAAUCUGUUACUUUCUUCUUCCUGUAAAAUCUCCUUAUUUCUCAACUGGUCAUGAGUGUCUUCCUGAGAAAGGCCUAGUGAAGAGGUGAAGGUGUGUAGUGUGGGGUGGGUGAGGGUUUGCUCUAGCUUAUUCCUUUUGUCUGCUUGUGUUGCUGAUAUGAAGUGUUUCCAAACCAUCUAUCAAACUAAAUGUUUUAAAAGAACAUCUCAAUGAAUUUUGAAGGAAAUGCAUAUUUCCACUAGCCAUGGGACUCGAAACAUCAAUAUGAUUCCCUGCAAAUUAAGUGCAAUCAGAUCAAGAGACAAAAAAUACUUAAAUGCCAUAUGUAUUCAGCUCCAUCUUCUGAGAAUUCAUUUGGCAGACCCUCAUGGAUGAUUAUCUUGACAGAGCCAUAAAACACUUACCAGAAUGCUCUUCUGUUCUGAUUGGUUCUUAAUGAACAUUCCCUGUGUAAUGGCGUCUAACAGACUACAAGUCUUAUCUCAUCCAUCUCUUGGCAGAACGUAAUAAUAUAAUACAUUUUUCAAUAUCUGACAGAUAAGUCAUGGCUUUUUUUGGUUUAUUAGGUGCUGAAAACGUGCUGGGGGUUAGGUGUGUUUAUUAGGUGCUGAAAACGUGCUGGGGGUUAGGUGUGUUUAUUAGGUGCUGAAAACGUGCUGGGGGUUAGGUGUGUUUAUUAGGUGCUGAAAACGUGCUGGGGGUUUAGGUGUGUUUAUUAGGUGCUGAAAACGUGCUGGGGGUUAGGUGUGUUUAUUAGGUGCUGAAAACGUGCUGGGGGUUAGGUGUGUUUAUUAGGUGCUGAAAACGUGCUGGGGGUUAGGUGUGGCUAAAAGAGGAGACCCUAUAUGGCUUAUAAAUGUCUGACAUUUGUUAUAAGAAGCUAAAUACUGUUUUGAACGCUUCUAAAGGGUAUAUGGCGGGUAUAUGGUUUGUAGGGUGUGUAACAUGGGUUGUAUGAUGUGUAACAUGGGUUGUAUGGUGUGUAACAUGGGUUGUAUGGUGUGUAACAUGGGUUGUAGGGUGUGUAAC
rnacentral:lncRNA from 1 species